rnacentral:rRNA from 1 species
GUGGGAAAUCUUGCGCAAUGGGCGAAAGCCUGACGCAGCCAUGCCGCGUGAAUGAUGAAGGUCUUAGGAUUGUAAAAUUCUUUCACCGGGGACGAUAAUGACGGUACCCGGAGAAGAAGCUCCGGCUAACUUCGUGCCAGCAGCCGCGGUAAUACGAAGGGGGCUAGCGUUGCUCGGAAUUACUGGGCGUAAAGGGCGCGUAGGCGGACAGCUUAGUCAGAGGUGAAAGCCCAGGGCUCAACCUUGGAAUUGCCUUUGAUACUGGCUGUCUUGAGUUUGGGAGAGGUGAGUGGAACUCCGAGUGUAGAGGUGAAAUUCGUAGAUAUUCGGAAGAACACCAGUGGCGAAGGCGACUCACUGGCCCAAUACUGACGCUGAGGCGCGAAAGCGUGGGGAGCAAACAGGAUUAGAAACCCCAGUAGUCC